rnacentral:rRNA from 1 species
CCUACGGGAGGCAGCAGUGAGGAAUAUUGGUCAAUGGGCGGAAGCCUGAACCAGCCAAGUAGCGUGCAGGAUGACGGCCCUACGGGUUGUAAACUGCUUUUAUACGGGAAUAACGCGCCUUACGUGUAGGGCUUUGCAUGUACCGUAUGAAUAAGGACCGGCUAAUUCCGUGCCAGCAGCCGCGGUAAUACGGAAGGUCCGGUCGUUAUCCGGAUUUAUUGGGUUUAAAGGGAGCGUAGGCGGGAUGUCAAGCGUGCUGUGAAAGGUCCGGGCUCAACCCUGGCCGUGCAGGGGUAACUGGCGUGCUUGAGUCCGCGGAAGGCAGGCGGAAUUCGUCGUGUAGCGGUGAAAUGCUUAGAUAUGACGAAGAACCCCGAUUGCGAAGGCAGCUUGCUGCAGCGGAACUGACGCUGAUGCUCGAAAGCGCGGGUAUCGAACAGGAUUAGAUACCCCUGUAGUC